rnacentral:rRNA from 1 species
UGGGGGAAUAUUGCACAAUGGGGGGAAACCCUGAUGCAGCGACGCCGCGUGGAGGAAGAAGGUCUUCGGAUUGUAAACUCCUGUUGUUGAGGAAGAUAAUGACGGUACUCAACAAGGAAGUGACGGCUAACUACGUGCCAGCAGCCGCGGUAAAACGUAGGUCACAAGCGUUGUCCGGAAUUACUGGGUGUAAAGGGAGCGCAGGCGGGAAGACAAGUUGGAAGUGAAAUCCAUGGGCUCAACCCAUGAACUGCUUUCAAAACUGUUUUUCUUGAGUAGUGCAGAGGUAGGCGGAAUUCCCGGUGUAGCGGUGGAAUGCGUAGAUAUCGGGAGGAACACCAGUGGCGAAGGCGGCCUACUGGGCACCAACUGACGCUGAGGCUCGAAAGUGUGGGUAG